rnacentral:rRNA from 1 species
UGCAAGUCGAACGGCAGCACAGUAAGAGCUUGCUCUUAUGGGUGGCGAGUGGCGGACGGGUGAGGAAUACAUCGGAAUCUACUCUUUCGUGGGGGAUAACGUAGGGAAACUUACGCUAAUACCGCAUACGACCUACGGGUGAAAGCGGAGGACCUUCGGGCUUCGCGCGGUUGAAUGAGCCGAUGUCGGAUUAGCUAGUUGGCGGGGUAAAGGCCCACCAAGGCGACGAUCCGUAGCUGGUCUGAGAGGAUGAUCAGCCACACUGGAACUGAGACACGGUCCAGACUCCUACGGGAGGCAGCAGUGGGGAAUAUUGGACAAUGGGCGCAAGCCUGAUCCAGCCAUGCCGCGUGGGUGAAGAAGGCCUUCGGGUUGUAAAGCCCUUUUGUUGGGAAAGAAAAGCAGUCGGUUAAUACCCGAUUGUUCUGACGGUACCCAAAGAAUAAGCACCGGCUAACUUCGUGCCAGCAGCCGCGGUAAUACGAAGGGUGCAAGCGUUACUCGGAAUUACUGGGCGUAAAGCGUGCGUAGGUGGUGGUUUAAGUCUGUUGUGAAAGCCCUGGGCUCAACCUGGGAAUUGCAGUGGAUACUGGAUCACUAGAGUGUGGUAGAGGGUAGCGGAAUUCCCGGUGUAGCAGUGAAAUGCGUAGAGAUCGGGAGGAACAUCCGUGGCGAAGGCGGCUACCUGGACCAACACUGACACUGAGGCACGAAAGCGUGGGGAGCAAACAGGAUUAGAUACCCUGGUAGUCCACGCCCUAAACGAUGCGAACUGGAUGUUGGGUGCAAUUUGGCACGCAGUAUCGAAGCUAACGCGUUAAGUUCGCCGCCUGGGGAGUACGGUCGCAAGACUGAAACUCAAAGGAAUUGACGGGGGCCCGCACAAGCGGUGGAGUAUGUGGUUUAAUUCGAUGCAACGCGAAGAACCUUACCUGGUCUUGACAUCCACGGAACUUUCCAGAGAUGGAUUGGUGCCUUCGGGAACCGUGAGACAGGUGCUGCAUGGCUGUCUC